GACGAACGCUGGCGGCGUGCCUAAUACAUGCAAGUUGAGCGCUGAAGGUUGGUACUUGUACCAACUGGAUGAGCAGCGAACGGGUGAGUAACGCGUGGGGAAUCUGCCUUUGAGCGGGGGACAACAUUUGGAAACGAAUGCUAAUACCGCAUAAAAACUUUAAACACAAGUUUUAAGUUUGAAAGAUGCAAUUGCAUCACUCAAAGAUGAUCCCGCGUUGUAUUAGCUAGUUGGUGAGGUAAAGGCUCACCAAGGCGAUGAUACAUAGCCGACCUGAGAGGGUGAUCGGCCACAAUGGGACUGAGACACGGCCCAAACUCCUACGGGAGGCAGCAGUAGGGAAUCUUCGGCAAUGGGCGAAAGGCUGACCGAGCAACGCCGCGUGAGGGAAGAAGGUUUUCGGAUCGUAAAACUCUGUUGGUAGAGAAGAACGUUGGUGAGAGUGGAAAGCUCAUCAAGUGACGGUAACUACCCAGAAAGGGACGGCUAACUACGUG
rnacentral:rRNA from 1 species